rnacentral:lncRNA from 1 species
AGGAGGAAGAAUUUUAGGACCUUUGUCAGGGAAGCAUGUCUGUGAGUCAUUAUGCUUCCAAGUUUAUUCAACAGUCUCGUUUUGCCUUGAACUGAUAACUACUGAGAGCAAGAAAGCCAGAAAAUUUCUGAGGGGUUGAGAGCUUACAUCUUUGAUUGGGAAGCCACGAUGAAGCCUACCACCUAUACUAAGCUUCAUGUAAACCUCAAUCCAUUCCUCCCAGAUGAUGUUGAAGAAGAUAGUAUGUCUCUUAACCUGCCCCUUAAAGUUUAUUUGGAUCCAUUCGUGGAUCUUUAGAUGUUGAGCGCAAAAGUGUACUUUAUUGUAAGAGACAAUUAUUUUGUAAUUCAUAGAAGUAGCUUAAGUGAUGGUUGUAAAUUUUUGAUAGCUAACUUCAAUGCCUCAUAAUUAUUUUUGUAACUUUGGUAAAGGAUGAAUUUAACUUUGGCAUUAUAAUUUAAAUCCAAUUGCACUCGUAUAUGCUCUGUAAUAGACAUCACUACCCACCGGGUAGCGAGAUGUCAUAUAAGAUAUCACUAAAAUCGCCCAUAACUAGCUAAGGGGGAAGAUGAGCUUCAUAAAUUUGCUUUAUAAAGGUCUAGAAUUUUUCUUUGUGAGUAUAACAUGGGGGACCAUAGACCUCUGUGCAUAACCAUGACUUACUAGUAUGGGAAAUUCAUUCAAUAGGUACGUGAUGUGAAAUUUAGAGAUAAGAAUUACU